AGGAUGAACGCUGGCGGUCUGCUUAACACAUGCAAGUCGAACGGAGUACCUCGGUACUUAGUGGCGGACGGGUGAGUAACGCGUGAGAAUCUGCCCUUAGGUCGGGGACAACCAUUGGAAACGAUGGCUAAAUACCGGAUAAGCCGAGAGGUAAAAGAUUAAUUGCCUAGGGAAGAGCUCGCGUCUGAUUAGCUAGUUGGUGAGGUAAAGGCUCACCAAGGCAUCGAUCAGUAGCUGGUCUGAGAGGAUGAUCAGCCACACUGGGACUGAGACACGGCCCAGACUCCUACGGGAGGCAGCAGUGGGGAAUUUUCCGCAAUGGGCGAAAGCCUGACGGAGCAAGACCGCGUGAGGGAGGAAGGCUCUUGGGUUGUAAACCUCUUUUCUUGGGAAGAACAAAAUGACGGUACCAAGGAAUCAGCAUCGGCUAACUCCGUGCCAGCAGCCGC
rnacentral:rRNA from 1 species